ACUCAAAUGAAUUGACGGGGGCCCGCACAAGCGGUGGAGCAUGUGGUUUAAUUCGACGCAACGCGCAGAACCUUACCAGCCCUUGACAUGGCGUCUAAAUCCCGGCGAGAGCUGGGGCUCCCGCAAGGGGGGCGUCACAGGUGCUGCAUGGCUGUCGUCAGCUCGUGUCGUGAGAUGUUGGGUUAAGUCCCGCAACGAGCGCAACCCUUGCCUUUAGUUGCCAUCGGGUAGGGCCGGGCACUCUAAAGGAACUGCCGGUGACAAGCCGGAGGAAGGUGGGGAUGACGUCAAGUCCUCAUGGCCCUUAUGGGCUGGGCUACACACGUGCUACAAUGGCGGUGACAAUGGGCAGCGAAAGAGCAAUCUGGAGCUAAUCCCCAAAAGCCGUCUCAGUUCGGAUCGCGGGCUGCAACUCGCCCGCGUGAAGGUGGAAUCGCUAGUAAUCGUGGAUCAGCAUGCCACGGUGAAUACGUUCCCGGGCCUUGUACACACCGCCCGU
rnacentral:rRNA from 1 species